GGGGCUGUAACGGCUUCGACGUUUUAGUGAACGUAGCCUCGUGAUUCAGGCCGAGAGUGAGUCACCUCUCGUAAAUCCAUGACUCAAACAAAACGUAAAUGCGAACAACAUCGUUCCUUUCGCUCGUCGGGCAGUUGCUGUUGCCUAAAAACCUCUCCGGUUUUUGAGCGUCUUUAGUCAGAAUCCGUUAAAGACUUUAGACUUAACCCCCAACGGAUGCUCUAACAGAUUGCCUUUGGUCGAUUUGUCUAGCUAAGAACUCACCAAAGAAUCCUAUCGUCUGGGACAAUUGACGGUCCUUGCUUUUAGGGUAUAAAAGCUAAGCCUGUGAACGAAUGGGGAGCUAAUAACUAGGGCGGACACGGGUUCGACUCCCGUCAGCUCCACUA
rnacentral:tmRNA from 1 species